GUGGCGAGUGAGGGUGUACAGCGCCAAUCAGGCCCUUGAAGCCCCCUCCCCGCGGCCCCGACUCUGUAUCUCAGUCCUGCCGGCCACGGCCUGAGGCUGGAGUCCGAACCCCAGCAGCCCUGGUGCUUAUGACAGGGCGGCCGCGGGUGACUCGGUGUCGGACUCAGCGUGGCCUCGGCUACGCCCCCACUUCCUGCAGAGGUGCAGGCUCCGCCUGCCGCGCGGGGCAGGAAGGGGGGUCGCACUGGGACCCUCCCCGGGCUGGGAAGGGGCAGGAAAGGGGAGGGGCGCGCAAAGAAUGUGCGGAAGCGCCUGUUUACCCGGGGGUGGGGCGGGCUCCCCAGCCCUGCCUUGACCUCCUCCCCCCAAGUGGACCAGGAGCUCCCACGCCCACACCCCGAGAGGCCGUAGGAGGUCACGGGGCGGGGCGGGGUGCGUGCUUUGAGCCCAGCGGAGCUGCCUGGCAGGCCCGGCCUGUGCAGGUUGGGCUCCCCACACCGGCCGCCCUGCGGAAGCUGCUCCCCUCCAACCCCCACCCGCUCCGAGGCGCCCAGACGCCAGAGCCCUCCCGGUGCCCAGAGCCGGGGGAUUCCCAGGUUGGGGGGCAGUGCCGAGAAGUGCCCCGCCCCCUCCACUUUCCUGAGACUCCAACCGGGAAACUGAGUCACAGACAGCAGCCUUUGCCCGUGACCUUAGCAGGAAGAGAUCCUCCGUAGACCCCCACACCGCUCCGGCGAAACACGCGCCCCAGGCCCACAGAACGCGGCCCGCAGCCCCCUGGGACCAGCCCCGGAGCCUCCGCAGCCCCGGACCAGGUCCUACCUCUCUUCUUGGAGUUCAUGUGCAACAAAGCAGAGGGAUGGCUUGUGGACAGUGAAUUAACCAGGGUUAAACAACGUUUGAAAAACGAUGCUGGAGGAGUCCAAUAACUCUUAUCAUCUUCAUAGUCAUCAUCAAUAACAUAGAGUAACAACAGUCAUCAUUUUUGAGGACCUAAUAAGUACCAUACGGCUGUAUGCACACACACACACACUUGGGUAUCAUGGCACAUACCAGUCAAGGUAGUCUUAUCUACUGUGGGUCCCCUAUUCUGCUAUUCUACACUGGUCUUGGAACCUUUUACCCAGGACAUAUU